UACGUAGGGUGCAAGCGUUGUCCGGAAUUAUUGGGCGUAAAGAGCUCGUAGGCGGUCUGUUGCGUCCGCUGUGAAAUCUCGGGGCUUAACCCCGAGCCUGCAGUGGAUACGGGCAGACUAGAGGUAGGUAGGGGAGAAUGGAAUUCCCGGUGUAGCGGUGAAAUGCGCAGAUAUCGGGAGGAACACCGGUGGCGAAGGCGGUUCUCUGGGCCUUACCUGACGCUGAGGAGCGAAAGCGUGGGGAGCGAACAGG
rnacentral:rRNA from 1 species